GGGGAUGUCGCUCAGUGGUAGAGCACAUGCUUGGCGUGCACAGGGUCCUGGGUUCCCAGUACCCAGUACCUCCU
rnacentral:tRNA from 1 species